GCGUUGGUGGUUCAGUGGUAGGACCUUCACAUUCCACGUGGGAGACCUGGGUCCAAUCCCAGCUAACGCG
rnacentral:tRNA from 1 species